UCUUUUUGAUUUUAUUUAAAGUCAGACCUGCCCAAUGAAUGUUUAAAUGGCCGCAGUACUUUAACUGUGCAAAGGUAGCAUAAUAAUUUGUUUUUUGAUUGGAAACUAGCAUGAAUGGUCAUACGAGGGAUUAACUUUCUUUAUCUUAUAUAAAUUAAAUUUAUUUUUCUGUGAAAAAGCAGAAAUGGUUUUAGUAGACGAUAAGACCCUUUAAAACUUCAUUUGUCAUUAAGGUAUGAUUUUUAAGUUUUUAAUUUUAUACUAUUUUAGGCAAAUUUGGUUGGGGCGACAGGUAAAUUCUUUUAACUUUAUUUUUAUAAAACACAGAUUAGUGUUCACUUGAUCCGAAUACCAUUUUCGAUUAAAAGUUUAAGUUACUUAAGGGAUAACAGCGUAAUCUAGCCGGAGAGUUCUUAUUGAUGGUUAGGGUUGCGACCUCGAUGUUGGAUUAAAAUUAAUAUUAGGUGUAGCCGCUUAAUAAUUAGGUCUGUUCGACCUUUAAUUUUUUACGUGAU
rnacentral:rRNA from 1 species